UACGUAGGGUGCGAGCGUUAAUCGGAAUUACUGGGCGUAAAGCGUGCGCAGGCGGUUCGCCAAGUCAGGUGUGAAAUCCCCGGGCUUAACCUGGGAAUUGCGCUUGAAACUAGCGGGCUUGAGUGUGGCAGAGGGGGGUGGAAUUCCACGUGUAGCAGUGAAAUGCGUAGAGAUGUGGAGGAACACCGAUGGCGAAGGCAGCCCCCUGGGUCAACACUGACGCUCAUACACGAAAGCGUGGGGAGCAAACAGG
rnacentral:rRNA from 1 species